rnacentral:misc_RNA from 1 species
GCUCCUAUUAGAAGUCCAUUCAGCAGCAAUGUGCCGACCUCAGUAUCUCUGCCAAAUGGAACAAAUUUACCUCCUUCACUUGCAUUACCACCAACCAUGCCUGCCCCUUUGCCACAAGAAAUUAGAGGGCUUGCACCAUCGUACUCACCUAGCAGUAGCAGUCCAAUAGCAAGGACACCGGAUAAAAUGGCUCCUCCACCAUUAAUUUUUAAAGGACAAUGGGAAUACUUGGUGACAGUAAUGG